rnacentral:rRNA from 1 species
CAUAGGUUAACGAGGCGAACCGGGGGAACUGAAACAUCUAAGUACCCCGAGGAAAAGAAAUCAACCGAGAUUCCCCCAGUAGCGGCGAGCGAACGGGGAGCAGCCCAGAGUCUGAAUCAGCUUGUGUGUUAGUGGAAGCGUCUGGAAAGUCGCACGGUACAGGGUGACAGUCCCGUACACGAAAAUGCACAGGUUGUGAACUCGAAGAGUAGGGCGGGACACGUGGUAUCCUGUCUGAAUAUGGGGGGACCAUCCUCCAAGGCUAAAUACUCCUGACUGACCGAUAGUGAACCAGUACCGUGAGGGAAAGGCGAAAAGAACCCCGGCGAGGGGAGUGAAAAAGAACCUGAAACCGUGUACGUACAAGCAGUGGGAGCACCUUCGUGGUGUGACUGCGUACCUUUUGUAUAAUGGGUCAGCGACUUAUAUUCUGUAGCAAGGUUAACCGUAUAGGGGAGCCGAAGGGAAACCGAGUCUUAACUGGGCGUUAAGUUGCAGGGUAUAGACCCGAAACCCGGUGAUCUAGCCAUGGGCAGGUUGAAGGUUGGGUAACACUAACUGGAGGACCGAACCGACUAAUGUUGAAAAAUUAGCGGAUGACUUGUGGCUGGGGGUGAAAGGCCAAUCAAACCGGGAGAUAGCUGGUUCUCCCCGAAAGCUAUUUAGGUAGCGCCUCGUGAACUCAUCUUCGGGGGUAGAGCACUGUUUCGGCUAGGGGGCCAUCCCGGCUUACCAACCCGAUGCAAACUACGAAUACCGAAGAAUGUUAUCACGGGAGACACACGGCGGGUGCUAACGUCCGUCGUGAAGAGGGAAACAACCCAGACCGCCAGCUAAGGUCCCAAAGUCAUGGUUAAGUGGGAAACGAUGUGGGAAGGCACAGACAGCCAGGAUGUUGGCUUAGAAGCAGCCAUCAUUUAAAGAAAGCGUAAUAGCUCACUGGUCGAGUCGGCCUGCGCGGAAGAUGUAACGGGGCUAAACCAUGCACCGAAGCUGCGGCAGCGACACUAUGUGUUGUUGGGUAGGGGAGCGUUCUGUAAGCCGUUGAAGGUGUGCUGUGAGGCAUGCUGGAGGUAUCAGAAGUGCGAAUGCUGACAUAAGUAACGAUAAAGCGGGUGAAAAGCCCGCUCGCCGGAAGACCAAGGGUUCCUGUCCAACGUUAAUCGGGGCAGGGUGAGUCGACCCCUAAGGCGAGGCCGAAAGGCGUAGUCGAUGGGAAACAGGUUAAUAUUCCUGUACUUGGUGUUACUGCGAAGGGGGGACGGAGAAGGCUAUGUUAGCCGGGCGACGGUUGUCC